AUACGUAGGGGGCGAGCGUUGUCCGGAAUGAUUGGGCGUAAAGGGCGCGUAGGCGGCCCGGUAAGUCUGGAGUGAAAGUCCUGUUUUUAAGAUGGGAAUUGCUUUGGAUACUGUCGGGCUUGAGUGCAGGAGAGGUAAGUGGAAUUCCCAGUGUAGCGGUGAAAUGCGUAGAGAUUGGGAGGAACACCAGUGGCGAAGGCGACUUACUGGACUGUAACUGACGCUGAGGCGCGAAAGUGUGGGGAGCAGACAGGAUUAGAUACCCUGGUAGUCCACACUGUAAACGAUGAAUGCUAGGUGUAGGGGGUAUCGACCCCUUCUGUGCCGCAGUCAACACAAUAAGCAUUCCGCCUGGGGAGUACGGCCGCAAGGUUGAAACUUAAAGGAAUUGACGGGG
rnacentral:rRNA from 1 species